rnacentral:tRNA from 1 species
GCCGGGGUACCCAAGCUAGGUAAGAUAUGCAUGAUUCCCUAAAAGGGGUCAGCCUCGAGAUCAAAAUAAUGAAUACCGAUGCGUAAGCUGAUGUUCGCAAGAACUCGUGGGUUCGAGUCCCACUCCCGGCG